ACUCAGUUUUUAGAGACAAACACCUUGGUUCAAAUUCAUGAACCAGUAUAGGCUAGAGAUACACAGUCAACUAAAAAAUUCCCUCC